rnacentral:rRNA from 1 species
CUACGGGAGGCAGCAGUAGGGAAUCUUCCGCAAUGGACGAAAGUCUGACGGAGCAACGCCGCGUGAGUGAUGAAGGUUUUCGGAUCGUAAAACUCUGUUGUUAGGGAAGAACAAGUACCGUUCGAAUAGGGCGGUACCUUGACGGUACCUAACCAGAAAGCCACGGCUAACUACGUGCCAGCAGCCGCGGUAAUACGUAGGUGGCAAGCGUUGUCCGGAAUUAUUGGGCGUAAAGCGCGCGCAGGCGGUUUCUUAAGUCUGAUGUGAAAGCCCCCGGCUCAACCGGGGAGGGUCAUUGGAAACUGGGGAACUUGAGUGCAGAAGAGGAGAGUGGAAUUCCACGUGUAGCGGUGAAAUGCGUAGAGAUGUGGAGGAACACCAGUGGCGAAGGCGACUCUCUGGUCUGUAACUGACGCUGAGGCGCGAAAGCGUGGGGAGCGAACAGGAUUAGAUACCCUGGUAGUCCACGCCGUAAACGAUGAGUGCUAAGUGUUAGAGGGUUUCCGCCCUUUAGUGCUGCAGCAAACGCAUUAAGCAUCC